UACAGAGGUCUCAAGCGUUGUUCGGAUUCAUUGGGCGUAAAGGGUGCGUAGGCGGCGCGGUAAGGCGGGUGUGAAAUCUCGGAGCUUAACUCCGAAACUGCAUUCGAUACUGCCGUGCUUGAGGACUGGAGAGGAGACUUGAAUUUACGGUGUAGCGGUGAAAUGCGUAUAUAUCGUAAGGAAGACCAGUGGCGAAGGCGGGUCUCUGGACAGUUCCUGACGCUGAUGCACGAAGGUCAGGGGAGCAAACGGG
rnacentral:rRNA from 1 species